rnacentral:sRNA from 1 species
UCCCUAUCUCGUUCUUCCUCAUCAAAAGC